ACACGUGGAACCUUGUGGGAAAUCAGGGGGACCACCCCCUAAGGCUAAAUACUACUUAGUGACCGAUAGCGCAUAGUACUGUGAAGGAAAGGUGAAAAGGACCCCGGGAGGGGAGUGAAAGAGAACCUGAAACCCUGUGUCUACAAGCUGUGGGAGCACUUUCUAUGUGCGACCGCGUACUUUUUGUAGAACGGUCCGGCGAGUUACGCUUACUGGCAAGGUUAAGCACUUCAGGUGUGGAGCCGUAGGGAAACCAAGUCUUAAGAGGGCCAGAGUCAGUAGGAGUAGACCCGAAACCGGGUGAUCUAUCCAUGUCCAGGUUGAAGCUGCCGUAAGAGGUAGUGGAGGACCGAACCCACAUCCGUUGAAAAGGGUGGGGAUGAGGUGUGGAUAGGGGAGAAAUUCCAAUCGAACCCGGAGAUAGCUGGUUCUCCUCGAAAUAGCUUUAGGGCUAGCCUCGAUACAGAUUUGCGGAGGUAGAGCACUGAAUUUCCUAGGGGGCGUCAAAGCCUACCGAAGAAUAUCAAACUCCGAAUGCCGCGUAAUCGAUUAUCGGGAGUCAGACUGCACGAGAUAAGUUGGGCGGUCAAAAGGGAAAGAGCCCAGACCUUCAGUUAAGGUCCCCAAGUGCGCGUUAAGUGGAAAAGGAUGUGGGAUUUCGAAGACAACCAGGAUGUUGGCUCAGAAGCAGCCAUCCAUUCAAAGAGUGCGUAAUAGCUCACUGGUCGAGAGGUCCUGCGCCGAAAAUGUCCGGGGCUGAAACGCGCCACCGAAACUAAGGAACCGAAAGGUUGGUAGAGGAGCAUUGCAUGCGGGAAGAAGCAGUACCGUAAGGAGCUGUGGACUGCAUGGAAGAGAGAAUGCCGGAAUGAGUAGCGAGAUAGAGGCGGGAAUCCUCUAGGCCGAAUAUCCAAGGUUUCCAGAGUAAAGCUGAUCUGCUCUGGGUAAGUCGGGGCCUAAGGCGAGGACGAGAGUCGUAGCCGAUGGACAACAGGUGGAGAUUCCUGUACUGCGGUAUGACAGAACUGUGGGGACACGUAAGGAAAGCGGAAGCCGGGAAUGGAAAGCCCGGUGCAAGCGGGGUACCAGCCACUUUGGCAAAUCCGGGUGGCAAUGGGAAGCCGUGAUGCGGAGGGAAAUAAAGUAGCGAAGUCCGUGAGCCAUGCGUCAAGAAAAGCCGCUAUUGUUUAUACCGUACCCGUACCGUAAACCGACACAGGUGGAUGAGGAGAGAAUCCUAAGGCCGGCGGAAGAAGCAUUGUCAAGGAACUCGGCAAAAUGGCCCCGUAACUUAGGGAUAAGGGGUGCCUGGGAAACCAGGCCGCAGAGAAUAGGCUCAAGCAACUGUUUAGCAAAAACACAGGUCUAUGCGAAACCGAAAGGUGAGGUAUAUGGGCUGACGCCUGCCCGGUGCUGGAAGGUUAAGAGGAGAGGUUAGCGCAAGCGAAGCUUUGAAUUUAAGCCCCAGUAAACGGCGGCCGUAACUAUAACGGUCCUAAGGUAGCGAAAUUCCUUGUCGGGUAAGUUCCGACCCGCACGAAAGGCGUAAUGAUUUGAGCGCUGUCUCGACAAUGCAUCCGGUGAAAUUGAAGUACCAGUGAAGAUGCUGGUUACCUGCGCCAGGACGGAAAGACCCCAUGGAGCUUUACUCCAGUCUGGUACUGGGACUCGGUAUUGCAUGUACAGGAUAGGUGGGAGGCUAGGAGAUGGUAACGCCAGUUGCCAUGGAGCCGCUGUUGGGAUACCACCCUUGCAGUAUUGGGUUUCUAACCAGCCGCCGUGACCCGGCGGUGGGACAAUGCCAGACGGGGAGUUUGACUGGGGCGGUCGCCUCCGAAAGGGUAUCGGAGGCGCCCAAANNNNNNNNNNCCGAAAGGGUAUCGGAGGCGCCCAAAGGUUCCCUCAGAAUGGACGGAAACCAUUCGAAGAGUGCAAAGGCAGAAGGGAGCUUGACUGCGACACCGACGGGUGGAGCAGGUACGAAAGUAGGGCUUAGUGAUCCGGUGGUAUUAAGUGGGAAUGCCAUCGCUCAACGGAUAAAAGCUACCCUGGGGAUAACAGGCUUAUCACUCCCAAGAGUUCACAUCGACGGAGUGGUUUGGCACCUCGAUGUCGGCUCAUCGCAUCCUGGGGCUGUAGUAGGUCCCAAGGGUUGGGCUGUUCGCCCAUUAAAGCGGUACGCGAGCUGGGUUCAGAACGUCGUGAGACAGUUCGGUCCCUAUCCGGCGUGGGCGUAGGAUAUCUGAGAGGAGCUGUCCUUAGUACGAGAGGACCGGGAUGGACGGGCCGCUGGUGCAUCGGUUAGACUGCCAAGUCUACGGCCGAGUAGCCAAGCCCGGAAGGGAUAAACGCUGAAGGCAUCUAAGCGUGAAGCCCCCCUUAAGAUGAGAUAUCCCAUUCGUUAAGAAGUAAACCCCCUUGAAGACGACGAGGUAGAUAGGGCAGAGGUGGAAGUG
rnacentral:rRNA from 1 species